AACGCGAAGAACCUUACCAAGGCUUGACAUAUACCGGAAACGGCUAGAGAUAGUCGCCCCCUUGUGGUCGGUAUACAGGUGGUGCAUGGUUGUCGUCAGCUCGUGUCGUGAGAUGUUGGGUUAAGUCCCGCAACGAGCGCAACCCUUGUUCUGUGUUGCCAGCAUGCCUUUCGGGGUGAUGGGGACUCACAGGAGACUGCCGGGGUCAACUCGGAGGAAGGUGGGGACGACGUCAAAUCAUCAUGCCCCUUAUGUCUUGGGCUGCACACGUGCUACAAUGGUCGGUACAAAGGGCUGCGAUACCGUGAGGUGGAGCGAAUCCCAAAAAGCCGGCCUCAGUUCGGAUUGGGGUCUGCAACUCGACCCCAUGAAGUUGGAGUUGCUAGUAAUCGCAGAUCAGCAUGCUGCGGUGAAUACGUUCCCGGGCCUUGUACACACCGUAGAGAC
rnacentral:rRNA from 1 species